UCUCUGUAUACCUGUGGCCUUCUGAAGAGCUCUGAAGUUCUGACAAGCUGUGAGCAGUUCUUCAAUCAGAGCUUGUGUCAGCAAACAGGCAUCUAAACCUGACUUGUUCACUUGCAACAGCUCUUUCCAGACAUGGGACAAGCUGAAUAUGUUGCAGUGCUAUGCUCAAGGUAGUUCCCAUUGAUCUGACACUUGAACCAUUUCCUCAUGGACAACCUACCUUGCCCUUGUCCAAGCCAGCAGAGUCUCUAAUCAGAUCAAGCUGAGUUUUGCACCUCUGGCAAUAAAACCCUUUCUCUCAGGACUGGAAUCCUGGCUACCCUUAGCAGUCAGAUGGACAUGAAACAACUUGAUCUUAAAUCUUGAAUGAAGUGCUUCUUAAUCAUGCUGCAUUCAAAUGAAAAAGCACCAGCUUAUGACCAUGUGAUGCUAGAUUUAAAAACUCUGUUUCAUCAACUAUUCCACCUGCUGCAGUGCUCAAAUUCCUAAUUUCACUCAUAGGAGCUUGCCUUAACUCUGAUAUUUUAUACAUAUAUUUGUAUAUCUGUAUUUAUGUCUUUAUCUCUGAGUAUUUGAAAAAUAUUUUUAACAGAUUCAAAUUUUUCUAGAAACUUAAGUUUUCUUCUUCCGUAGUCUUGUUUCUCUUGUCACCAAUGACAGGAACGAUAACUCAUCCCAUGCUCUUAUUACUCCAACAACUAAAUCCAUUGAGGAAGAUCAGGGUAAUUGGAUGUUAUUGCCAUGUGUAUGUCUGUUACCUGAGCACUCUCUGUAGCAUAUAGAAAUACAUUGCCAGUGAUCAAUCAGGUUGUAGGAUCAAACUAAUGGAACACCAAACAUAAAGAAAAGAGGUGAAAAGAUUCAGUUAAUGUAGCUGAAAAAUUGGUGUUUAUAGUGGAAAUCAGGAAGAGUAUAACAGCUGUGGAGCUACCACUAUUUGACAGAAUUGGUUAUUUUGACUUAUGUAAUACUGUGUGCAUUAGGUAGGUAAAAAAAAAAAAAAAGGUUUUGGGACUAUAAAAUCAUCUGUCAUAUUGACAAGUUUAAUGUGAAGGAAUCAUGAAGGAAGAGAUUGCAAUAUAGAGAUAAUCUUGUGGAAAAGGGAUUUUAAGAGUUGCAUAAAUUCUUCAUUAAAACACAAUUUUAGGCUGUCAUACUGGCUGAGGUAGAAAGACAUUCUGGAGAUCAUCUUUCAACUCCUUGCUCUAAGCAGGGUCGGAAGGCGGGUUGUUCAGGACCAUGUCCAGUUAGUCUUUGAAUAUCUCCAGGGAUAGAAAUUUCACAGCUUCUCUAUACAACCUACUCCAUUGUUGGACCACCCUGACAGUAAAGACAAUAUUUCUUAAGUGGAAUUUCCUGUUGUGGUCAUUGACUCUUCCUGUCACUGGUUACAUCUGGGAAGAAUCUGUCUCUCUCUUUCUCUCUCUCUGUCUGUCAGGUAUUUAUACACAUGGGGAAGAACCCCCUGAACUUUCUCCAGGCUGUGUAGUCUCAGCUCUCUCAGCCCCCAUUCCAACCUUUUCAUCAUCUUUGUGGUUCCUUCAGUUUGUCUAUGUAUUUCCUGUACUGUGAAGACCAGAACAGAUGCAUAUGAUAAGGACUGAGCAGAGGGAAAAAAAUAAACUCUCAACCUUCUAGCAGUGCUUUAACCAGUGUGCCAUCAGCCUUCAUUGCCUCAGGGAUUCAGUGCUUGCCCAGGGUUGAUGUGAUGUUCCAGAUGCAGCAAGUACGUACACCCCAGGGGGUUGAAGUUAUUCCUUCUUAUAGCCAGGACUUGGCAUUUCCCUUUGCUGAUUUUCAUGAAGCAAUUUAACUCA